rnacentral:rRNA from 1 species
AGAGUUUGAUCAUGGCUCAGAUUGAACGCUGGCGGCAUGGCUAAAACAUGCAAGUCGAACGCGAAAGUUCCUUCGGGAGCAAGUAGAGUGGCGUAAGGGCGAGGAAUACGUUUCUACGUACCCCAAGGUCGAGGAUAGCUCGGAGAAAUCCGGGGUAAUACUCGAUGUGGUGCUUCGGCAUCAAAGGCUUGUCUGCCUUGGGAGCGGGGAACGUCCUAUCAGGUUGUUGGCGAGGUAAUGGCUCACCAAGCCAAAGACGGGUAGCGGGUGUGGGAGCAUGACCCGCCGCAUCGGGACUGAGACACUGCCCGGACUCCUACGGGAGGCUGCAGUAACGAAUAUUCCGCAAUGCACGAAAGUGUGACGGGGCAAUGCCGCGUGUGGGAUGAAGCCCUUCGGGGUGUAAACCACUGUCAGGGUCUAGGAACACAAUGACCAGACUCAAAGGAAGGGCCGGCUAACUCUGUGCCAGCAGCCGCGGUAAUACAGAGGGCCCGAGCGUUAAUCGGAAUCACUGGGCUUAAAGAGUGCGUAGGCGGACGUAAAGGUAUUUUGUGAAA